CCCCAGUAACGGCGAGUGAAGCGGCAACAGCUCAAAUUUGAAAUCUGGCCCCCCGGGCCCGAGUUGUAAUUUGCAGAGGAUGCUUUUGGCAAGGCGCCGCCCGAGUUCCCUGGAACGGGACGCCGCAGAGGGUGAGAGCCCCGUCUGGCUGGACGCCGAGCCUUCGUAAAGCUCCUUCGACGAGUCGAGUAGUUUGGGAAUGCUGCUCAAAAUGGGAGGUAUAUGUCUUCUAAAGCUAAAUACCGGCCAGAGACCGAUAGCGCACAAGUAGAGUGAUCGAAAGAUGAAAAGCACUUUGAAAAGAGGGUUAAACAGUACGUGAAAUUGUUGAAAGGGAAGCGCUCGUGACCAGACUUGGGCUUGGGGGAUCAUCCGGCGUUCUCGCCGGUGCACUUCCCCUCGCCCAGGCCAGCAUCAGUUCGCGCCGGGGGACAAAAGCUUCGGGAAUGUGGCUCCUCCGGGAGUGUUAUAGCCCGUCGCACAAUACCCUGGGGCGGACUGAGGUUCGCGCAUCUGCAAGGAUGCUGGCGUAAUGGUCACCAGCGACCCGUCUUGAAACACGGACCAAGGAGUCGUCUUCGUAUGCGAGUGUUCGGGUGUCAAACCCCUACGCGUAAUGAAAGUGAACGCAGGUGAGAGCUUCGGCGCAUCAUCGACCGAUCCUGAUGUUCUCGGAUGGAUUUGAGUAAGAGCAUACGGGGCCGGACCCGAAAGAAGGUGAACUAUGCCUGUAUAGGGUGAAGCCAGAGGAAACUCUGGUGGAGGCUCGCAGCGGUUCUGACGUGCAAAUCGAUCGUCAAAUAUGGGCAUGGGGGCGAAAGACUAAUCGAACCUUCUAGUAGCUGGUUUCCGCCGAAGUUUCCCUCAGGAUAGCAGUGUUGACUUCAGUUUUAUGAGGUAAAGCGAAUGAUUAGGGACCCGGGGGCGCUAUUUAGCCUUCAUCCAUUCUCAAACUUUAAAUAUGUAAGAAGCCCUUGUUACUUAAUUGAACGUGGGCAUUCGAAUGUAUCAACACUAGUGGGCCAUUUUUGGUAAGCAGAACUGGCGAUGCGGGAUGAACCGAACGCGAGGUUAAGGUGCCAGAGUAGACGCUCAUCAGACACCACAAAAGGUGUUAGUACAUCUUGACAGCAGGACGGUGGCCAUGGAAGUCGGAAUCCGCUAAGGACUGUGUAACAACUCACCUGCCGAAUGUACUAGCCCUGAAAAUGGAUGGCGCUCAAGCGUCUCACCCAUACCUCGCCCUCAGGGUAGAAACGAUGCCCUGAGGAGUAGGCGGACGUGGAGGUCAGUGACGAAGCCUAGGGCGGAGCCCGGNCGAACGGC
rnacentral:rRNA from 1 species